GAAUAUAAAUGAGACAACUUUUAGCGUCACUUUCCACAAUAAACCCGAAUUGGACAAUGCCAAUCUCUAAUUAUUUUCUCGUACUUCAUCCUCUUUGUUGAGCUUCAAAUUUUUUCCCAAUUCUCCAAUGCCUUAUGUUCUUUUUCAGAAAGGUUACGAUUGGAGUUUAAGCAGAUGCUCGGAGCACGUGCUUUUGCUAGAGAUCAUAUGAACACAAUGAAUCAUCAGAUUUAUGAUUAUUUGGGAUACAUAUGGAUUCUUCAGACCACUUUAACUCAGGGAGUUCAAUGACUUCUUUGGUUAGCAGUUCAUCAAGAAUCGCAGGCAUGUCGGAGUCGGAAAAAGGAUAUACCUUUGCUUGUAACUUCUUUAAAGUUGAUUGAUUUUUUAUUUCUCGUGUUUGUUGAUUCAGAGCUUUCUCUUUCAAUUUUUGUCUUGUGGAGGCCUUUGUAGAACUCACUGUUAUUGCCAUGGAUUCCCUAGUUUGGUCUUUUGAUGAGUCAUUGAAUUUUGUGGCUUUUUUUUUUUGGAUCAAAGACUGGUGAUGUCAUUCCAUGACUUGCAAUACAUAGCUCCAUAUUGUGAGAGCACAUAGCUAAUUCUUCAAAAGUUCAAGGCUUAAUCCCUUGGAGGAUAUACACAAGGCCCCAAUGCAUUCUUGAAUGCAAACUUUAAUUGUAGAAGUUUCAGAAAGUUGAUCCUUGCAAUC